ACAUUUAGGAACACAGACUUUGGCACUGAUAGGCGUGGGACAACAGGCGUGUAAUAUAGAACGCCGAUUAAGUUUAACACGACAAUUAUCUCCGCGUCUUGUCUCGAUUCGCUGCGACAUUUGCCAGCUGUUCGGGGGCUCCGAUAAUGGCGGAGCGACAGAGGCAGCUGCCUCUAGUAUAUAUUCUAUAUAAUAUAAUCGCACUGAAUAGUCAAAGUCGGACGCAUAUUCGUCACCUGAGGCACGACCCGCCUCCGCAGUUAUGACACAAACAUAUUGUCCAGCCAGAAACAGCGGGGGUACGAAAACAAGAUGCGGAAUCAAUGAGAACGAGCCCGAUACGGAUCUACAUGGCACCGCAGGACGAGUGCAAGAGUGCAGGAGUGCAGGAGUGCUGCAGCAGGAUGCUCGCACUCGGAUGCAGGUCCCGAAAUCCAGUCGAAAUCUAUUGUUUCGCUGUCGCGACGAGCGUCUGGACAGAAAUUGCUGUGGAUUGCGGCAAAGCGGAAAUAUUUUUAUGUCGCCAACACGAAAAUGUUGCCGUUGAUGUUGCAACAUCGCUAUCGCCGGCCAUCGAUGCGGAGUAGGAGUGAGUCUGGCAUCGGUAUUGGGACUCUGUUCGGGUUCGGGUCUGGGUCUCGGUCUGGCCAAGAGGUCUCCUCUCCUGCCACUCGUUGGCGCAGCAUGUGAAACUAUGGAAUUUUUUCAUUUGAUGCCUAUAAACGUAAAUAUCUUGCUUUUUAAUCUUAUUUUAUAAUAAAACUGAAUAUAAUGUACUCUUUUUGAAUGUCGUUAAAGUGAUCAUUAAA